GCAUCCCAGAGCCCGCUGGAGGAAGACGGGGUCCCCAGAGACCCGGCAGGCCGGGGCGGAGGUUGAGGCAGCUAAACUCCAGGUGGACGCCUACAUCGCCUUUCGCGGUGUUGCUAAGCCGAACUUUUAAUUUUAGUUUGACUUUUGGGUUCCAGAGACGGGUAUUUCCGGACACUGGCAAGAAUUUUGCCUUGCGUGUCUUCGAAGGCGGUUUUCUUGGUGUCCAUAUUGCAUAAAGGCUUGUCGCUCCUCUGUGGAGAUGACGGUUGUACAGUAGUGACAAGUCUCACUAUGUUGCCCAGGCUGGUCUCAAACUCCUCAGCUCAGAUGAUCCUCUCACCUGGGCCUCCCAAAGUCCUGGGGUUACAGGUGUGAACCACCAUGCCCAGUCUUAUCUCAGAGCAAAUGUUACGCACCAUCCUUUGCUAGGCAGAGUGAGCUUCAACCCUGGCAGCACGUUUGACUCGUCUGGGGAGCUCCAAAAAUGGGGACUGUGCCUCACUCUAGACCACUUAAUCAGUCUCAAGCAGUACUGUAAGAUUGAUGUUAAAGGCAUGGUGUUCACCCCACUU
rnacentral:lncRNA from 10 species